GAGUUUGUCGGUUGGUCGGGCUUCACUGUCCGCACUGGCCUGAUGGAUUCCUACCUUCUGAAUAACCAGCAUGCUAUUAAGUUAGUGCGUUGGGGAAGCAGAGCUAUUACCUUGAAAAAAUUAGAGUGCUUAAAGCAGGCUUAUGCUUGAAUAGAUUAGCAUGGAAUAAUAAAAUAGGACGGCAUGGUUCUAUUUUGUUGGUUUCUAGGAUCACCGUA
rnacentral:rRNA from 1 species